rnacentral:rRNA from 1 species
CAAGGCUAAAACUCAAAGGAAUUGACGGGGGCCCGCACAAGCGGCGGAGCAUGCGGAUUAAUUCGAUGCAACGCGAAGAACCUUACCAAGGCUUGACAUAUACCGGAAACUUCCAGAAAUGGUUGCCCCGCAAGGUCGGUAUACAGGUGGUGCAUGGUUGUCGUCAGCUCGUGUCGUGAGAUGUUGGGUUAAGUCCCGCAACGAGCGCAACCCUCGUUCUAUGUUGCCAGCACGUUAUGGUGGGAACUCAUAGGAGACUGCCGGGGUCAACUCGGAGGAAGGUGGGGAUGACGUCAAAUCAUCAUGCCCCUUAUGUCUUGGGCUUCACGCAUGCUACAAUGGCCGGUACAAAGGGCUGCGAUACCGUAAGGUGGAGCGAAUCCCAAAAAGCCGGUCUCAGUUCGGAUUGAGGUCUGCAACUCGACCUCAUGAAGUCGGAGUCGCUAGUAAUCGCAGAUCAGCAACGCUGCGGUGAAUACGUUCCCGGGCCUUGUACACACCGCCCGUCAAGUCAUGAAAGUCGGUAACACCCGAAGCCAGUGGCCUAACCGUAAGGAGGGAGCUGUCGAAGGUGGGAUCGGUGAUUAGGACUAAGUCGUAACAAGGUAGCCGUACCGGAAGGUGCGGCUGGAUCACCUCCUUUCUAAGGA